CCCUUAGACGUUCUGGGCCGCACGCGCGCUACACUGACCAGUGCAACAAGCAUCCGUCCUUGGCCGACAGGCUCGGGCAAUCUUUGAACGCUGGUCGUGAUGGGGAUAGACUUUUGCAAUUUUUGGUCUUCAACGAGGAAUUCCUAGUAAACGCAAGUCAUCAACUUGCAUUGAUUACAUCCCUGCCCUUUGUACACACCGCCCGUCGCACCUACCGAUUGAAUGGUCCGGUGAAGCCUCCGGAUUGGCGCGCACCUCGGUGCCGCCGAGAAGUUGGCUAAACCUUACCAUUUAGAGGAAGGUGAAGUCGUAACA
rnacentral:rRNA from 1 species